UACAGAGGUCCCGAGCGUUUGUUCGGAUUCACUGGGCGUAAAGGGUGCGUAGGUGGCGGGGCAAGUUUGAUGUGAAAGCUCAGGGCUUAACCCUGAAAUGGCAUUGAAUACUGCUUUGCUGGAGGUUUGGAGGGGGGACUGGAAUUCUUGGUGUAGCAGUGAAAUGCGUAGAUAUCAAGAGGAACACCAGUGGCGAAGGCGAGUCCCUGGACAACACCUGACACUGAGGCACGAAAGCUAGGGGAGCAAACAGG
rnacentral:rRNA from 1 species